rnacentral:rRNA from 1 species
UACGAAGGGGGCUAGCGUUGUUCGGAAUCACUGGGCGUAAAGCGUAUGUAGGCGGAUCGUUAAGUCGGGGGUGAAAUCCCGAGGCUCAACCUCGGAACUGCCUUCGAUACUGGCGAUCUUCGAGUCCGGGAGAGGUGAGUGGAAUUCCGAGUGUAGAGGUGAAAUUCGUAGAUAUUCGGAGGAACACCAGUGGCGAAGGCGGCUCACUGGUCCAUUACUGACGCUGAGGUGCGAAAGCGUGGGGAGCAAACAGG